CCGGCCUCUACUGUACUCAGGGGUCCAGGGCCAAGUGGAGCAAAGAGCCAAGAGCGCCGCCCACGCGUGCGCACACCUGCCUCCCUGGUCAUCCGCAGACGAACGCGGGGCCCCCGUGGAGCGGACGAGCGCCAUCUGGCGGGAGGCCGUGGAGGCGUCCACAGAGAGCGUGACCUCGGGUAACUGAUGUCACAUUGAGUGCCCGCUCCGUGCCUGGCGGCGGCGGCGUUACACAACUCGCGGGACGCCCCGGGGCGCCAUUCUCACAGAAUCCCAAGCGAAGUUACUCCUGAGGGUGAAACGUGCUUCGGUCCUGUCCCAGCCUGCUAGGGACCCACAAGCCAAUGGAGGAGAGGGCACUCCUGAGCUGGACGGUGGAAGAGGGCACGUGGUCCAGGCAUGAAUUCAGAUGAUUUCAACCCCACCGUGUUGAGAAACUGCACAGGUGGGUCUGCCCCAGGGGGAAAGGGCUGCUCCCUUUUGCCAAAGCUCUCCCUUUAGGCCUUUAUUACUUAUAGUCAUCAGAUUCAGGAUGAUCAUUUGUUUAGUCAGUCUCCCCAGCUCUGGCCUGUGAACCCUGCAAACCUAAGACUGGACCUUUUCAACCUUUGUACCUCCAAAGUCUAGACCAGAGUAGUUGAACAAUAAAUAUUUAUAGAUGACAGAAC
rnacentral:lncRNA from 1 species